rnacentral:rRNA from 1 species
UAGAUUAAUAAAGUUGGAUAUUAAAAACAAUAGUUCUAAAUCCAAAAAAUUUGGCGGUAUUUUAAUCAAUCAGGGGAACUUGCAUAUUAAAUCGAUAAUCCACGAAAAUCUUACUUUUAUUUGAAACUCAGUUAGUGUACUGCCGUAUUUAUAUAAAUUUAUAAUUAUAUAUAAAUAAGAUUAAAUAUCUUAUACAACAGGUCAAAGUGCAGCUUAUAUAAAAGGAGAUUGUGAGUUACAUUAUUAAAAUAAUAUGAAUUAUAUUAAUAUAAUAUAUAUAUGAAAAUGGACUUGAUAGUAAUUAUAAAAAGUAAUGAAUUAACUCUUAAAAUGUGU